GACGAACGCUGGCGGCGUGCUUAACACAUGCAAGUCGAACGGAAAGGCCCUGCUUUUGUGGGGUGCUCGAGUGGCGAACGGGUGAGUAACACGUGAGUAACCUGCCCUUGACUUUGGGAUAACUUCAGGAAACUGGGGCUAAUACCGGAUAGGAGCUCCUGCUGCAUGGUGGGGGUUGGAAAGUUUCGGCGGUUGGGGAUGGACUCGCGGGUUAUCAGCUUGUUGGUGGGGUAGUGGCUUACCAAGGCUUUGACGGGUAGCCGGCCUGGGAGGGUGACCGGCGACAAUGGGACUGAGAGACGGCGCAGACGCCUACGGGAGGCAACAGGGGGGAAUAUUGCACAAUGGGGGGAAGCCUGAGGCAGCAACGCCGCGUGCGUGAAGACGGGCUUCGGGUUGAAAACCGCGUUCGCCUGGGACGGAGCGUGAGUGACGGUAAUGGGUAAAGAAACACCGGCUAACUACGGGC
rnacentral:rRNA from 1 species